CGCAGACGGAAACAGAAAGCAGCAACUGCAGGCUAAGCGCGCUUUACUGAGCAUAUACAACAGCACACAGGAAGCAAAGAACCCCGUCCAUUCAAAUGAAGGGCUAACUGGGGAAGCGGCUGCCUGAUUUCGCAUCCUGCACCCAUGAUAGGAAAGAAGUUCUCAGGGUGUGUGUGGGCGGCACAGGGAGUGUCGCCUGGGGCUCGGGGUCCCCUUCUGCAAUGGAAGUAACAUCCACGGUAUCACCUGGAACCAACUCUUCCCGGGAUGCACAGCCCUGAGCCGCAAUGUUUUGGUCAACAACGGAACAGACGGAUGACUUUGCAGCCGCCGCAGUUUGUGUAAGGACAGGCCCCGGGUCUGCACCACGAUGAAACUGCCACUCCUCAGAGAGCGUCCUGCUCCUCCAGCACCGCGAGGGCUGACUGAACUGGAGUGGUCGGGGGCGCUGCUCACCGGGUGUGCCGUACAGGCUGCUCCAUGCCUUCGUGCCUUUUCUUGGUCCACACAGCAAGCUGCAACCCAGAGCGACUGACGGCAAUGAAAGAAAUGAUCAUGAAACACAUGGGGUCCGCCCAUGUUCACAUCUUUUCUUCUUACACAUGACUUCGCUGGGAGCUCGCGUGCAGCAGAUAUUCCCAAAGCACUGACCGGAAGCUGGCACUCUUAGCUCCUGAGGCCACUUUCCGUUCACACUCCUCAUUUCACAGAACCCGCUCAUGCAGGGUUACUUGGGCCUGGCACCAGGACAUGGAUGGAGGAGCCGGCCUGGGUCUUCUGGAAAAGUGUUUCAUGGUUCUCAGACAUUUCCCUAAGUCUGCCUGAGAGGUUCUACUUGGCUGGUGGAGCCCAAGACACCAAUUCUACACAUCUGGGUGAAUUUUUCAGCAGCAAAUUAAUUAGACACCCUUUCGUGUGGUUGAGGAGGAAGAUGCACAAGCAGAGAAACAAGACUGAGAAGGGCUGCCGGGACCAGGUCAUUUCAUUGUUCAAAGAAAAAAUUCGGUGGAAGGAGCCUUCUCCGUGCUCAUUAGGAACCCAGGCCUCCGCGUUCCCAUGCAAGAAGGGGAACAGAAGGAAUCUCAGUUGCUUUUUCAUGAGAUCUGACCCAGAGUUGAACAAAGAGAAUUGUAAAGCUUUUGCAUAUGCCAUUUUGAGGAGGGGGGCAUCAAUCUCUUUCCUCCUUCUCUGGUGUUUGUUGCUUGAAUAAAAAGAA
rnacentral:lncRNA from 1 species